rnacentral:rRNA from 11 species
UAGAGAAAUCGAUUAUGAAAAAAUGAUAAGUAUCUAAUAUUAGACCCGAAGACUAGUGAUCUUACCAUUAUCAGGAUUAUAAAGGUCCGAACGGUUUAUCGUUGUAAAGAUAUCCGAAGAAUGAUGGUAAGCAAGUGAAAGACAAAACUGACUAGUUCAGCUGGUUUUCCGCGAAACCUAUAUAAGUAGGUAAUUUAAUUAACAUCUUAGCAGGUACAGAACUGUGAUCUCGAUCAAAUUUAUUUGAAUACAUCGGGGGAUCGUAAAGAUUUUAUCGGAGAGAUUUUGCACUCGGAAGGGCUAAGAUUUGUAUUAAAUAAUCGGACAUAGUACGAUAAGGUUGUAUGUCUAAAGGGAAACAGCCCAGAACAAGAGUUAAUAAGGUUCCAAAAUUAUUGUUGAGUGAAAUAAAGGAUGUGUCUUUGAACACGAUCAGGAAAUAGGCUUAGAAGCGGCCAUUUUUUAAAGAUCUCGUAACAGAGCACUGAUU